rnacentral:rRNA from 1 species
AUUGAACGCUGGCGGCAGGCCUAACACAUGCAAGUCGGGCGAGCGGAGGACGGGUGAGUAAUGUAUGGGGAACUGCCUGGUAGAGGGGGAUAACGUCCGGAAACGGGCGCUAAUACCGCAUACCAACAGAUGAACCAUUAUGGGAUUAGGUUGUAGGUAAGGUAACGGCUUACCUAGGCGACGAUCCCUAGCUGGUAUGAGAGGAUGAUCAGCCACACUGGGACUGAGACACGGCCCAGACUCCUACGGGAGGCAGCAGUGGGGAAUAUUGCACAAUGGGCGCAAGCCUGAUGCAGCCAUGCCGCGUGUAUGAAGAAGGCCUUCGGGUUGUAAAGUACUUUCAGUCGGGAGGCGUUACCGACAGAGGAAGCACCGGCUAACUCCGUGCCAGCAGCCGCGGUAAUAC